AGCUGAUGGUGGAGCUGAGACGCUGGAGGACGACUAGGAAUCAACCAACAAGGAUUCCUCAACGUGUUUCUGGAGCGGAGGCGAGCUGGCAGGGGAGCCGUGAAUCUGGAGGAUGACCAUCACUCUACCAACAAGGAUUGUAAGCCUCUGAGGAGAGCUGAUGGAGGAGCCAAGACUCUGGAGGACGACAUCACUCUACCAACAAGGAUCCUCAUAAGUUUGCAUAAAACCAGGAAUCUGGAGGACUGACGGAGAAGCUGUACAUCUGGAAGGCAAAUCCUGAGGACAACCAGGAUUCUACCAUCAAGGAUUCCUCACACACCUGAGCUGAACCCCACCUGAUCCUGACAGCCUGCUGGUCCCGUCUCCUCAGUUCAUCUGAGCCUCGUCCUCCAGAAGACCUGCUGAGCUCAGCGGUCUGAGGCUGAUGGAUCAAUGACCUCCAGUGGGAGUGAUCUUCUUGACCCCACAUGUACCCGUGUGCUUCCACACGCCUUUCCCUCACGUCCAUCACUAACCUCACUACUUCACUA
ensembl:lncRNA